AUGGCGCUUCGUGCAAGGACGCCGCUCCUGCUCGCGGCUCUCGCCGGCGCCGUCGCCCUCCUGCUGCCGGGCGCCGUCGAGGCCCGCGUCCUGCUCUCGCUCGACGACUUCGGCGCCGUCGGGGACGGCAUUGCCAACGACACCCAGGCACUCGUCGACGCGUGGAAGGCGGCGUGCGCCACUGGCGGAACCACCUACCUCAACGUCCCCGCCGGCAAGUCCUACCAGAUCUGGCCCGUCACGCUCGCCGGCCCCUGCCGCGGCGAGAUCAAGCUCAUGAUUUCCGGGAACAUCAUCGCGCCGGAGGAUCCGGAAGAGUGGUCGGACGGCGACCAAGGCAGGUGGCUCCACUUCUCGGGCGUGGGCGACCUGUCGCUGAGCGGUGGCGGCAUCGUCGACGGCCGGGGCCAGCAAUGGUGGGCGGGGUCCUGCGAUGACGAGAACUGCACCAAGUACCGCCCAUACGAAGUCGCCCCCAUGGCGCUCCACUUCGAGGACUGCCGGGACGUGAGCGUGAAGGGCAUCACGGUGCAGAACAGCCAGCGGCAGCACCUGGUCUUCACCCGCUGCCACGACGUCGAGGCCAACUAUCUCAGGGUGACCUCGCCGGAGUACAGCCCCGGCACCGUCGGCGUCCUCGUCGUCAGCUCCACUGACGUGCACAUCAAGCACGAUCUCUUCUCCGUAGGUGGCGACUGCGUGUCGAUCGUGGGCAACUCCUCGGAUAUCCGGCUGAGAGCCAUCUCGUGCGGACCUGGCCUCGGCAUCAGCAUUGGAGGCUUGGGCGAGAACCAAAGUAAUGACAUGAUACACAAGAUCAAGAUGGACACUAUGCUCCUCUCCAACACCAAGAACGGCCUACGCAUCAAGACCUACGAGAACGGCUGCGGCUACGCGCGCAAGGUGAAGUUCGCGCACAUCACGAUGAGGAACGUGGCCAACCCUAUCGUCAUCGACCAGCACUACUACUCCGCCUCCAACUCCAACCGGGGAACUCCCUGCGGAACCCCGAGCGCCAGCGCGGUGGCGGUGGAGAAGAUCAAGUACAUCGACAUCACCGGCACGUCGGCAACGGAGCGGGCCGUGACGUUCGCGUGCAGCGACGCCAUGCCGUGCAGGCGCCUGUAUCUGGACGGGGUGAACCUGAAGACGGUCGGCGGGGGGAGCACGUCCGCCUACUGCUACCAGGCGUUCGGGAAGCAAGUCGGGGACGUCCUCCCGGAGUCGUGCCUCGGCAAGGAGAAGGAGGACUUCCUCCGGCUGCAGGCCCCGACCGCCGCCGGCACGCCGCAAGGAGACACCGAAGACGAAGAAGAUGAUGAUUGGUGA
rnacentral:rRNA from 1 species